GAGGGUAUAGCUCAAUGGUAGAGUGUGUGCUUAGCAUGCAUGAGGUCCUGGGUUCAAUCCCCAGUACCUCCA
rnacentral:tRNA from 1 species